GACGAACGCUGGCGGCGUGCUUAACACAUGCAAGUCGAACGGAAAGGCCCCCACUUUUUUGGUGGGGGUGCUCGAGUGGCGAACGGGUGAGUAACACGUGGGUGAUCUGCCCUGUACUUCGGGAUAAGCUUGGGAAACUGGGUCUAAUACCGGAUAGGACCAUGGUUUAGUGUCUCAUGGUGGAAAAAUUAUUGUUUUGGUGCAGGAUGAGCUCGCGGCCUAUCAGCUUGUUGGUGGGGUAAUGGCCUACCAAGGCGUCGACGGGUAGCCGGCCUGAGAGGGUGGACGGCCACAUUGGGACUGAGAUACGGCCCAGACUCCUACGGGAGGCAGCAGUGGGGAAUAUGGCACAAUGGGCGCAAGCCUGAUGCAGCGACGCCGCGUGGGGGAUGACGGCCUUCGGGUUGUAAACUCCUUUCGUUAGGGACGAAGCCGCACCUUUUUGGGGUGUGGUGACGGUACCUUUGUUAAGAAGCACCGGCUAACUACGUG
rnacentral:rRNA from 1 species